rnacentral:rRNA from 1 species
GUCUGAGAGGAUGGUCAGCCACACUGGGACUGAGAUACGGCCCAGACUCCUACGGGAGGCAGCAGUCGAGAGGCUUUGGCAAUGGGGGAAACCCUGACCAAGCGACGCCGCGUGGAGGAUGAAGGCCCUUGGGUUGUAAACUCCUUUUGUCGGGGAAGAAAUGCGAUCAGGUGAACAAUCUGGUCGUCUGACGGUACCCGGCGAAUAAGCUCCGGCUAACUCCGUGCCAGCAGCCGCGGUAAUACGGGGGGAGCAAGCGUUGUUCGGAAUCACUGGGCGUAAAGGGCGUGUAGGCGGUCAAGUAAGUGAGAUGUGAAAUCCCCCGGCUUACCCGGGGACCUGCAUCCCAAAUUGCUUGGCUUGAGUACGGGAGAGGAUGAGGGAAUUCCUGGUGUAGCGGUGAAAUGCGUAGAUAUCAGGAGGAACACCGGUGGCGAAGGCGCUCAUCUGGCCCGAUACUGACGCUGAGGCGCGAAAGCUAGGGGAGCAAACGGGAUUAGAUACCCCGGUAGUCCUAGCCGUAAACGGUGAGCACUAGGUGUUGGAGGCAUCGACCCCUCCAGUGCCGCAGCUAACGCAUUAAGUGCUCCGCCUGGGGAGUACGGCCGCAAGGUUGAAACUCAAAGGAAUUGACGGGGGCCCGCACAAGCGGUGGAGCAUGUGGUUUAAUUCGACGCAACGCGAAGAACCUUACCCAGGCUUGACAUGCAUUGGACGGGUGUGGAAACACACCUUCCCUUCGGGGCCGGUGCACAGGUGCUGCAUGGCUGUCGUCAGCUCGUGUCGUGAGAUGUUGGGUUAAGUCCCGCAACGAGCGCAACCCUUGUCCUUAGUUGCUAACGGGUGAUGCCGAGCACUCUAAGGAGACUGCCGGUGAUAAACCGGAGGAAGGUGGGGAUGACGUCAAGUCCUCAUGGCCCUUACGCCUGGGGCUACACACGUGCUACAAUGGCCGGCACAAAGGGUUCCGAUACCGCGAGGUGGAGGCAAUCCCAAAAAACCGGUCUCAGUUCGGAUUGCAGUCUGCAACUCGACUGCAUGAAGUCGGAAUCGCUAGUAAUCGCUGAUCAGCAGGCAGCGGUGAAUACGUUCCCGGGCCUUGUACACACCGCCCGUCAAGCCACGAAAGUUGGUAGUACCCGAAGUCGGUGUGCCAACCGUAAGGGGGCAGCCGCCUAAGGUAAGACCAGUGAUUGGGGCUAAGUCGAAACAAGGUA